AGCGAACGCUGGCGGCAGGCUUAACACAUGCAAGUCGAACGCAUCCUUCGGGGUGAGUGGCAGACGGGUGAGUAACACGUGGGAACGUACCCUUCGAUCUGGGAUAACUUCGGGAAACUGGAGCUAAUACCGGAUACGCCCUUUUGGGGAAAGGUUUACUGUCGAAGGAUCGGCCCGCGUCUGAUUAGCUAGUUGGUGGGGUAACGGCCUACCAAGGCGACGAUCAGUAGCUGGUCUGAGAGGAUGAUCAGCCACACUGGGACUGAGACACGGCCCAGACUCCUACGGGAGGCAGCAGUGGGGAAUAUUGGACAAUGGGCGCAAGCCUGAUCCAGCCAUGCCGCGUGAGUGAUGAAGGCCUUAGGGUUGUAAAGCUCUUUUGUCCGGGACGAUAAUGACGGUACCGGACGAAUAAGCCCCGGCUAACUUCGUG
rnacentral:rRNA from 1 species